rnacentral:rRNA from 1 species
AGUUUGAUCCUGGCUCAGGAUGAACGCUAGCGGCAGGCUUAACACAUGCAAGUCGAGGGGUAACAUUGUAGCUUGCUACAGAUGACGACCGGCGCACGGGUGCGUAACGCGUAUAGAACCUACCUUUUACUGGAGAAUAGCCUUUAGAAAUGAAGAUUAAUGCUCCAUAGUAUUGCGACUCGGCAUCGGGUUGUAAUUAAAGAUUUAUUGGUAAAAGAUGGCUAUGCGUCCUAUUAGUUAGAUGGUAAGGUAACGGCUUACCAUGACAUCGAUAGGUAGGGGUCCUGAGAGGGAGAUCCCCCACACUGGUACUGAGACACGGACCAGACUCCUACGGGAGGCAGCAGUGAGGAAUAUUGGACAAUGGAGGCAACUCUGAUCCAGCCAUGCCGCGUGCAGGAAGACGGCCCUAUGGGUUGUAAACUGCUUUUAUACAGGAAGAAACCACCCUACGUGUAGGGUGCUGACGGUACUGUAAGAAUAAGGACCGGCUAACUCCGUGCCAGCAGCCGCGGUAAUACGGAGGGUCCAAGCGUUAUCCGGAAUCAUUGGGUUUAAAGGGUCCGUAGGCGGACUAUUAAGUCAGUGGUGAAAUCUCGGGGCUCAACCCCGAAACUGCCAUUGAUACUGCUGGUCUUGAAUACGGUUGAAGUAGGCGGAAUGUAGCAUGUAGCGGUGAAAUGCAUAGAUAUGCUACAGAACACCGAUCGCGAAGGCAGCUUACUAAGCCGAUAUUGACGUUCAGGCACGAAAGCGUGGGUAGCGAACAGGAUUAGAUACCCUGGUAGUCCACGCCGUAAACGAUGAUCACUCGUUGUUGGCAAUACACAGUCAGUGACUAAGGGAAACCGAUAAGUGAUCCACCUGGGGAGUACGAUCGCAAGGUUGAAACUCAAAGGAAUUGACGGGGGCCCGCACAAGCGGUGGAGCAUGUGGUUUAAUUCGAUGAUACGCGAGGAACCUUACCUGGGCUCAAAUGUAAGUUGACAGAUUCUGAAAGGGAUUUUUCUUCGGACAAUUUACAAGGUGCUGCAUGGUUGUCGUCAGCUCGUGCCGUGAGGUGUCGGGUUAAGUCCCAUAACGAGCGCAACCCCUACUCUUAGUUGCCAGCAUGUAAUGAUGGGGACUCUAGGAGAACUGCCUACGCAAGUAGAGAGGAAGGUGGGGAUGACGUCAAAUCAGCACGGCCCUUACGUCCAGGGCUACACACGUGCUACAAUGGCCGGUACAGAGGGCAGCCACCUGGUGACAGGGAGCGAAUCUCUAAAGCCGGUCUCAGUUCGGAUCGAAGUCUGCAACCCGACUUCGUGAAGCUGGAAUCGCUAGUAAUCGCGCAUCAGCCAUGGCGCGGUGAAUACGUUCCCGGGCCUUGUACACACCGCCCGUCAAGCCAUGGAAGCUGGGGGUACCUGAAGUCAGUGACCAUUUAGGAGCUGCCUAGGGUAAAACUAGUGACUGGGGCUAAGUCGUAACAAGGUAACC